UACGUAGGGGGCAAGCGUUGUCCGGAAUCAUUGGGCGUAAAGAGCGUGUAGGCGGUUCGGUAAGUCGCGUGUGAAAGCCCCCGGCUCAACUGGGGAGGGUCACGCGAUACUGUUCGACUCGAAGGCAGGAGAGGGAAGCGGAAUUCCCGGUGUAGUGGUGAAAUGCGUAGAUAUCGGGAGGAACACCAGUGGCGAAGGCGGCUUCCUGGCCUGUUCUUGACGCUGAGGCGCGAAAGCUAGGGUAGCAAACGGG
rnacentral:rRNA from 1 species